rnacentral:rRNA from 2 species
AGACUAUUACAGGUACGGGCUCUGAGAGGAGUAGCCCGGAGAUGGGUACUGAGACACGGACCCAGGCCCUAUGGGGCGCAGCAGGCGAGAAAACUUUGCAAUGUGCGAAAGCACGACAAGGUUAAUCCGAGUGGUUUCUGCUAAAGAAACCUUUUGCCAGUCCUAGAAACACUGGUGAAUAAGGGGUGGGCAAGUUCUGGUGUCAGCCGCCGCGGUAAAACCAGCACCUCAAGUGGUCAGGAUGAUUAUUGGGCCUAAAGCAUCCGUAGCUCGUUUUGUAAGUUUUCGGUUAAAUCCAUGCGCUCAACGUAUGGGCUGCCGGGAAUACUGCAUAACUAGGAAGUGGGAGAGGUAGACGGUACUCGGUAGGAAGGGGUAAAAUCCUUUGAUCUAAUUGAUGACCACCUGUGGCGAAGGCGGUCUACCAGAACACGUUUCGACGGUGAGGGAUGAAAGCUGGGGGAGCAAACCGGAUUAGAUACCCGGGUAGUCCCAGCUGUAAACUAUACAAACUCAGUGAUGCAUUGGCUUGUGGCCAAUGCAGUGCUGCAGGGAAGCCGUUAAGUUUGCCGCCUGGGAAGUACGUACGCAAGUAUGAAACUUAAAGGAAUUGGCGGGGGAGCACCACAAGGGGUGAAGCCUGCGGUUCAAUUGGAGUCAACGCCAGAAAUCUUACCCGGAGAGACAGCAGAAUGAAGGUCAAGCUGAAGACUUUACCAGACAAGCUGAGAGGUGGUGCAUGGCCGUCGCCAGCUCGUGCCGUGAGAUGUCCUGUUAAGUCAGGUAACGAGCGAGAUCCCUGCCUCUAGUUGCCACCAUUACUCUCAGGAGUAGUGGGGCGAAUUAGCGGGACCGCCGCAGUUAAUGCGGAGGAAGGAAGGGGCCACGGCAGGUCAGUAUGCCCCGAAACUCUGGGGCCACACGCGGGCUGCAAUGGUAGUGACAAUUGGUUCCGAAUCCGAAAGGAGGAGGUAAUCCUCAAACGCUACCACAGUUAUGACUGAGGGCUGCAACUCGCCCUCACGAAUAUGGAAUCCCUAGUAACUGCGUGUCAUUAUCGCGCGGUGAAUACGUCCCUGCUCCUUGCACACACCGCCCGUCGUUUCAUUGAAGUUUGCUUUUAGCGAGGUGACGUCUGAUUGGCGUUAUCGAACUUGAGGUAAGUGACAAGGGAAAAGUCGUAACAAGGUAACCAAGGGCGAAUUCCACAUUGGGCUGCAGCCCGGGGGAUCCACUAGUUCUAG